rnacentral:tRNA from 1 species
UGAGCAGACGCCCAUUCGGCAGGGCACCGGGCUGUAACCCCGUGGUCGGCUAGUUCCGUGUUGGUUCGAAUCCAACCUGCUCAA